rnacentral:rRNA from 1 species
CGCCUUGCCAGCCCGCUCAGAAACUCAAAGGAAUUGACGGGGGCCCGCACAAGCGGUGGAGCAUGUGGUUUAAUUCGAUGAUACGCGAGGAACCUUACCUGGGCUCGAACGUAAGAUGACUGUAGGUGAAAGCUUACAUCUCUUCGGAGCAUUUUACGAGGUGCUGCAUGGUUGUCGUCAGCUCGUGCCGUGAGGUGUCGGGUUAAGUCCCAUAACGAGCGCAACCCCUACCUUUAGUUGCCAUCAGGUUAAGCUGGGGACUCUAAAGGAACUGCCUACGCAAGUAGUGAGGAAGGCGGGGAUGACGUCAAAUCAGCACGGCCCUUACGUCCAGGGCUACACACGUGCUACAAUGGCCGAUACAGAGGGCAGCUACCUGGUGAUAGGAUGCAAAUCUCCAAAGUCGGUCUCAGUUCGGAUCGGAGUCUGCAACCCGACCCCGUGAAGUUGGAUUCGCUAGUAAUCGCGCAUCAGCCAUGGCGCGGUGAAUACGUUCCCGGGCCUU